rnacentral:rRNA from 1 species
GGUUUCUUGUUUGUAUAGGAAAUUUGACCUGCCCACUGAAAUUUUAUUUGAAGGGCCGCAGUAUCUUGACUGUGCAAAGGUAGCAUAAUCAUUAGUCCUUUAAUUGAGGGCUUGUAUGAAUGGUUGGACAAGGUGAAUAUUGUAUUAAGUUAAUAUUAUAGAAUUUAUAUUUUGAGUAAAAAGACUUAAAUGUAGUUGAGGGACGAGAAGACCCUAUAGAGUUUUAUAUCUGUAUAUUUAUAAUUUGGUUAUGUAAUAAUUUAUUGUUAUAAGUGAAAGAUAUUUGGUUGGGGUGAUUGAAAAAUGAGUAGAACUUUUUUUAAUAUUAAAUACUUAUGAGUAGAAAAUUGAUCCAUAAUUUUUGAUUAAAAGAUUAAAUUACCUUAGGGAUAACAGCAUAAUUUUCUUUGAGAGUUCUUAUUGAAAGGGAAGAUUAUGACCUCGAUGUUGGAUUAAGAUGAAUAAUAAAUGUAGAUGUUUAUAAAUUAGGUCUGUUCGACCUUUAAAAUCUUACA